rnacentral:snRNA from 1 species
AUACUUACCUGGCAGGGGAGUCACCAUGAUCACGAAGGUGGUUUUCCCAGGGCGAGGCUUGUCCAUUGCACUGCGGAUGUGCUGACCCCUGCGACUUCCCCAAAUAUGGGAAACUCGACUGCAUAGUUUGUGGUAGUGGGGGACUGCGUUCGCGCUCUCCCCUA